GUGGGUAUAGCUCAGUGGUAGAGCACAUGCUUAGCAUGCAUAAGGUCCUGGGUUCAAUCCCCAGUACCUCCA
rnacentral:tRNA from 1 species